GCGUAUCGGUGCUGCAACGGUCAGCAUAAGCUCGCGGAAAGAGUGAGAUCUGGGUUCGAAUCCCGGCUGACGUA